UUAAAUCAGACCCAAAAUUGGGUGUCGAUCAGUGAUUAGGCGAAAAUCGCUGACGAAACGGUUACAAAGGUCCGCGAAACACAAACACACACGCACGCACGCGGUGUGUUGUUCGAUGACAUUCGUCGUUCGCCGACAACCAAAGGCCACCACCACUCGGACUAGUCGGAGUAGCUGAAUGUGAGGUGAGUUUGUCGAUCUUUUUGAGUGUUGAGAAGGGUUUUGAAUUGAGUAUGGAAGACGUAUCAGAGAGGUCAGAGAUGCGUAGACUGCAAAGGGAGCAAGAAAGAGAAAGGCGCCGAAUGCGUGACAGGGAAAGAAGACAGUCAAUGACUCUUGAGCAGAGGGAGAAACAUCUUGCUAGGCGUCGUAGAAACUAUCAAUUGAGAAGACUAAGAGCUGAAGGUGCGAGAUCAGGUUCUCAAACCGGACAAACAAGUAUGGUGACUGUAGGUGAAACUAUCACCGGCGAUGACCAUCAAGCAGUAACUUCUGUUUCAGGACUUAGUGUCAAUUGUAAUGGUGUUACUCACGUUGGAAUUAAUCAAGGCGAAGAAAAAUUAAAUGUGGAAUGUGUAGAGUCUGAGGUUUUGCAAGCUUUGGUCCACAAAUCAAAUAAUUUCCCGGCAAGGUUACGUCUAAGUCAUAUAAGACAUCUUGCAAGAUCAUUAAAUCAUUCUAUAGGAGGGCUUGCUGACAAUUACCAAAUGGUGGCAGCACUCAUAACGAAAGAGGAUGCUGCUAGUAACUGUUUGCAAGUUGGAGACUCUGAUUCUUGUAGAUCACCGCAGAGUUUACGUUUAAAUCGUGUUAAGCGCCUUGCUCGUACAUUAAACAAUUCAGCAAAUUCUUCUAUGAAAGAGGCUACUGAUCAAAACCAGCGAAGUGGGAAAGAAGGUAUGGAAUAACCUAUCAGAGCAGAAACUGCUGUGGGGAGAGCCAGGGCUGAUAUGUAAUGAUGAACCAAAACUUGUAUGACCUAUUAUAUAAGAGGAUGAACAUCUGUAAUUGGCUAUUGAAGAGAGGGAAUUAACCUUUAACUUGGUCACAUGUGAGAAAUGAAGUUUGCUUACCUUUUCUUAGGAGGUUCAAGAUUGAAGAUACGACGGAGAAAACAAAAGGGAAUUACUUCAUGGGCAUGGAUUAAUUGUUGGACAAGGCUGUGUGAUGUUUAGAAUUACUUGACUGUAGAAAUAACCAGAGACUGAAGCUGCUGAAUUGUGUCGGCGCCUUUCAAUUAACAAUUCUUUUAGGAUUUUUCCAAAGUAUUGAUUACACAUAUAUACUUGUAUGCAAAUGUUUAAUUGGUUGGGUUAGUUCUUGCUUGUUGAUUUGCUGUAAGUUUAAUUGGUAUGAAGUUUGAGUUUGAUACUAUUUCGG